AUUUAAUUCAACAUCGAGGUCACAAACUUAAUUAUUAAUAAGAACUCGCCAACUAAAUUAUGCUGUUAUCCCUAGAGUAAUUUUUUUUAUCUUAUCUCAUAAUUCAAAAAUCUAAUUUCUUCAACUAUUACCCCAACCAAAAAUUUUAAAUUUUAAACUUCUAGGGUCUUCUCGUCCCAAAAAUUUAUAAAAGCAUUUUUACUUUUAAUUUAAAUUCAAAAUAACAAAUAAAAACAUUCCCCUAAAAUUUCUACCUUUCAUUCCAGUCCCCUAUUAAAGAA
rnacentral:rRNA from 1 species